rnacentral:lncRNA from 1 species
AUGGGGCGCCUGCAGGUCACAAGGGUAGGGGCAUUAUUAGCAGGAAGCUGGAAAUUUAAAUUUAUACCAGGAUUCAAGAAGGGAAGUUGGGAGUCACAUGCUUUCCACCAAACAGUAAUUAACAAUAUAAGACAGAAUGAAUGCAAACCAGAAUCAAGACAGAGGGUGCAUUUUUGGCUAGUGUGGGAACUUUGAGUCUGAGGGGAUGUCAGAAUUUCCCUGGCACAGAAUAGGAAGAGAGUUCUCUCUCUCUCUCUCUCUCUCUCUGUGUGUGUGUGUGUGUGUGUGUGUGUGUGUGUGUGUGUGUGUGUGUUGGAAUCAACAGUGCAGUGCAGCCAAAACUCUACCUCUGCCCUUCUAGGGUUUUGGCUGGGCUUGAGAAUUAAAUUGACAUAAGAUAGAUUAACAAGAGAAAAGCAUAUAAAUUUAUGACGUGGGAGCCCUCAUGAGAAAAUGAAGAUGAAAAAAAAGAGCAGAGUUUACCUGAUGUUAUAAAGAGGCAAUGGUGGAAAAGUAACUAAAUUUUGUGGGGAGACCAAAGGGGGAUAAUUCUUUUAACAAGGUCUGUUUAUACAGAAUUAUCUCAGCUGUGACUCCCCAUGGAAGAAUGUUUCUUUUCUCUUGGCACAGGGAGGCCAUCUUCCACGUGGCAGUUUUUAUCUCCUACCUUCAGGGAAAAGAAGGGGAAGAUUAGAAUACACCUAAUCUUCUUGAAUCUGCUCUUUUUCAAGUGCCUUUGGCUUUUUCAAGUGCCUUAUGUGAAAGUGGCAUAUUUGGGGGUGGCAUAGCCUGCCACCUUCAGUAGUGUGACUCAAGGCUGAGUCAGAAAAGUGCAUGGUAUUUUGAGAGGUAGGGAGCAAACAUUUGUUGUCAGGUAACCCUACAAGCACAGCAUGGGGAAAGGGUCCAUCUCCUAGUCUUGCUCAUUCUCCCAAGAGGCAUCUUAAGUCAUACAGAACUCUCAGAAUUCUCAUAUGACCCUUUUGAAAAUCAGCAGAGGCCUCUAUCAGAAUCAGUGAAAGCAGGUAUGCUUUCUAGACCCGAGAGAGACAUGGAAGAUUCCAGGAUCGGGUCCUGGAGAAUUUCUGUUUCAAAAUGUGCAGUCUCUAGUUUUUCUCCAAAUGAACUUGAGUUGGAAUCUCAAUAAGUGGAUCCACCUGCCCGUCAAACAAACCAGGUAAAAGUGAUUCAGAUGGAAAAUCUUUUGGGUAAGAAAAUUGAAUAAGGAAUAAAAAAAUUUAUCCCAGCCGAAACUGACAUUGUGUCCAUUCUCUAAAGGCUCACAUAUAAACAGUGAUUAACAGAGAUCCCAUAAUGCUGGACACUGUGAGAGGGAGAUUUACUUUCAGUAGAAAUGCACUUACAUUUCUUGUUAUGCUUGGAAGCAGGGCAGCUAAUUCAUCCUUAGGAAAAUCAAAGAAACAUUUGGGAGGAAGGAAACAUUGACAAUACCACCAACUGACCCCUUUAAAAACUAUCUAUAGUUUUCUAUAAUUAGUCAAUAAAUGAACAGAAUCAUGUGAGUUCUUUCUUAUUUGGUUGAGGAGUAUGGCCUUGAGAACACAGAAAAGCCCUGAAUAUUUAAGUGUGUGAGCAACAUGGGAGGAAGGCAAAGUGGCCAGUGACCAGGACAGAAAAGACAACCUUAUGUAAUGGCAUGAUUUUACAUAACCUGGGUUCUCCUAGUACAUGGCAGGGAUUAAGUUACCAGGUUCACACAAGCUCCACCUGAGAUGCCAGUCCCAAUUAAUUUUUCAUGGCUUCCUGCAGCACAGCAUUGACAUAUAAGAUAAUAAAGAUUUCAGCUGUGUAAGAGACUGUGGCCAACGUGUAAUAUCUGUCUGGAAUAAAGGAGGGGGAAGAGAGAGAGAAGAGAAGGAAGGAAGGAAGGAAGGAAGGAAGGAAGGAAGGAAGGAAGGAAGGAAGGAAGGUGAGAGA